GGCGCUGUGGCUUAGUUGGUUAAAGCGUCUGUCUAGUAAACAGGAGAUCCCGAGUUUGAAUCCCAGCAGUGCCU
rfam:Salmo salar isolate Sally breed double haploid chromosome ssa04, whole genome shotgun sequence.